rnacentral:rRNA from 1 species
GGUCCGAACCCACGAGCGUUGAAAAGCUCGGGGAUGACUUGUGGGUAGCGGUGAAAUUCCAAUCGAGCCCGGAGAUAGCUGGUUCUCCCCGAAAUAGCUUUAGGGCUAGCCUCAAGGUGAGAGAUACGGAGGUAGAGCACUGAAUGUCCUAGGGGGUAUUGCACCUACCGAAGACUAUCAAACUCCGAAUGCCGUCAUCUUAUACUUGGGAGUCAGACUGUGGGUGAUAAGAUUCAUAGUCGAAAGGGCAACAGCCCAGAUCGUCAGCUAAGGUCCCUAAAUGUAAGUUAAGUGGUAAAGGAUGUGGGAUUGCACAGACAACCAGGAUGUUGGCUUAGAAGCAGCCACUCAUUCAAAGAGUGCGUAAUAGCUCACUGGUCGAGUGAUCCUGCGCCGAAGAUUUCCGGGGCUAAAACUUACUACCGAAGCUACGGCAUCAGUAAUGAUGGGUAGGGGAGCUUCCCAUACGGGUUGAAGCAUGACCGUAAGGACAUGUGGACAGUAUGGGAGUGAGAAUGUUGGCAUGAGUAGCGAGAUGUGGGUGAGAAUCCCACAGGCCGUAAACCCAAGGUUUCCAGGGGAAGGUUCGUCCGCCCUGGGUUAGUCGGGACCUAAGCUGAGGCCGAAAGGCGUAGGUGAUGGACAACAGGUUGAUAUUCCUGUACUACCGAUAACCGUUUGAGAGAAGGGAUGACACAGUAGGAUAAGCUAAGCACACUGUUGGUUAUGUGUGCCCAAGCAUUGAGGCAGUCAAAGUAGGCAAAUCCGCUUUGAUAAUGCUGGGAUGUGAUGGGGAGCGAAAUUUAGUAGCGAAGUAGCUGAUUUCACACUGUCAAGAAAAGUCUCUAUCGAGGUUAAAGGUACCCGUACCGCAAACCGACACAGGUGGGUGAGGAGAGUAUCCUAAGGCCAGCGAGAGAACUGUUGUUAAGGAACUCGGCAAAAUGACCCCGUAACUUAGGGAUAAGGGGUGCCACCAUUAGGUGGCCGCAGAGAAUAGGCCCAAGCGACUGUUUACCAAAAACAUAGGUUUCUGCUAAGUCGCAAGACGAUGUAUAGGAGCUGACGCCUGCCCGGUGCUGGAAGGUUAAGGGGAUCUGUUAGAGCAAUCGAAGCAGUGAACUUAAGCCCCAGUAAACGGCGGCCGUAACUAUAACGGUCCUAAGGUAGCGAAAUUCCUUGUCGGGUAAGUUCCGACCCGCACGAAAGGCGUAACGAUUUGGGCACUGUCUCAACAACAGACUCGGUGAAAUUGUAAUUCCGGUGAAGAUGCCGGAUACCUGCGACAGGACGGAAAGACCCCAUGGAGCUUUACUGUAGCUUGACAUUGGGUC